CAAAGGAGCAAUCCGCUGGGAGAUGGGCUCGCGUCCGAUUAGAUAGUUGGCGGGGUAACGGCCCACCAAGUCAACGAUCGGUAGCCGGACUGAGAGGUUGAACGGCCACAUUGGGACUGAGACACGGCCCAGACUCCUACGGGAGGCAGCAGUGGGGGAUAUUGCACAAUGGGGGAAACCCUGAUGCAGCGAUGCCGCGUGAGUGAAGACGGCCUUCGGGUUGUAAAGCUCUGUCGCAGGGGACGAAAAUGACGGUACCCUGCAAGAAAGCUCCGGCUAACUACGUGCCAGCAGCCGCGGUAAUACGUAGGGAGCAAGCGUUGUCCGGAAUUACUGGGUGUAAAGGGAGCGUAGGCGGGAGGAUAAGUUGAAUGUGAAAUCCAUGGGCUCAACCCAUGGCUGCCUUCAAAACUGUUCUUCUUGAGUGAAGUAGAGGCAGGCGGAAUUCCUAGUGUAGCGGUGAAAUGCGUAGAUAUUAGGAGGAACACCAGUGGCGAAGGCGGCCUGCUGGGCUUUUACUGACGCUGAGGCUCGAAAGCGUGGGUAGCAAACAGGAUUAGAUACCCUGGUAGUCCACG
rnacentral:rRNA from 1 species